GUUUAAAUCACCCUGUGUCCAUUGUGCGUGCAGGGUGUGUGUGCCAUGUGGUUGUUUGGGGUUAAAUGUUAGUGUGCUCUGUGGAUUUGGCUGUGGAGCCUGUACAGUGCCACCUGUUGGUUGCAAAGAUCUAGCAACAGCUAUAUGCAAUUAUGCACUACCUGAAUAGCAAGGCUUGCUAAUUUGCAUAUUCAGGUAGAUUUGCAUAGUG